CCCUUAGAUGUUCUGGGCCGCACGCGCGCUACACUGACUGGUGCAACAAGUGUCGCUCCUUGGCCGAUAGGCCUGGGCAAUCUUUGAACGCCAGUCGUGAUGGGGAUAGAUUCUUGCAAUUUUUGAUCUUCAACGAGGAAUUCCUAGUAAACGCGAGUCAUCAACUCGCAUUGAUUACGUCCCUGCCCUUUGUACACACCGCCCGUCGCACCUACCGAUUGAAUGGUCCGGUGAACCCUCCGGAUUGGCGCGCACCUCGGUGCCGCCGAGAAGUUGGCUAAACCUUACCAUUUAGAGGAAGGUGAAGUCGUAACA
rnacentral:rRNA from 1 species